rnacentral:rRNA from 1 species
GCCUACGGGGGGCACAGUGGGGAAUAUUGGGCAAUGGGCGCAAGCCUGACCCAGCAACGCCGCGUGAAGGAAGAAGGCUUUCGGGUUGUAAACUUCUUUUCUUGGGGACGAAGAAAGUGACGGUACCCAAGGAAUAAGCCACGGCUAACUACGUGCCAGCAGCCGCGGUAAUACGUAGGUGGCAGGCGUUAUCCGGAUUUAUUGGGUGUAAAGGGCGUGUAGGCGGGAUUGCAAGUCAGAUGUGAAAACCAAGGGCUCAACCUGUGGCCUGCAUUUGAA